AGCUCCUCAGGGCAGGGGUAUCUUCAUUUUUUGUUUAUAUCCCUAGUGCCUGGCAAGUCUAGAGGCGCUUCAUAGAUCUUUGCAGAAUGAACAAAGUAGUAAGUGGCUUGCUGUGAGAAAGACCGGGAGCGUUCGAGCUUCCAAAGGUGUUUCGCUUUCUUCUCUGCCCAAGAUUCUCUCUCUCUGAAUUGUGCCUUUGAGCUAAUAAGUUCUUCUGCCCAGGGAUGGCGACUUGCAAGGCACAGAAACUCUCUCAGUUUGGCUAAAGUGACAGGGAACUGAACCAGCACACAGGAGGCUCCUGUGAUACUCUGGGCAGGAGAGAGAAGAACGGAACCAUCAGAAGGGGGAGCAGAAAACCAGAGCACCAAGGAGCCCUCCUCCAGCUCCUAAGAGCACCCCCAACCAAGACCGCUCUCCUGGGCUUUUUCAUCUCCUGGGGACCACCCCUUCCCUCCCAGAGCUCUUCCUCCAUCCGGGUUCCUGUGUGUGCUCGUCUGUGUUCUGGGAGUAUCUGUUGACCCUCUGUCUGCUUGGGGAAAUCCAGUCCUGCUUGUCCUGAAGCCUCCAUGGACAGACUCAGGCAACACUUCAUUGUGUAAUACAGAGUAAGGGUCCUGAUGGUCCAAGUGAAGAUGGAUGGCUUUAUAGACUGAGAAGUGCUUGAAGAAAACAGGAGACAACAACAAUGAUGAUGAUAAUGAUGGCAGCAAACAAACUUUGAUUGUUUCAGGUAUUUUCCUUGUAUGGUGGGGAUGAGGGGCCAGAACAGCAGGAAAAUAACUGGCUGGUUAACAUCAGUGUAUUUCAGGUUAUCAGUUUAAGAAUUAAGCCACAGGGGACUUCAUUAUCGUGCCAAUUGGCACCAGGCUGUUUGGGAAAUUUGGUUGUUAUCUCUUUAAUCCUGAUUUCUCUAGAGGUGAGAUAAAUAGUUUAGAUUCAGCUUGGUGAUACAGAACUUCAUGUGAGUGGCUCCAAUUUGAAUUUUAGCCUGGUCUGUUGGGGCCUAGUGUGGGAGCUUAGUUCAGAAACAUUGGCUUUUUAUAUUUUUUAUUCAACACUGACUUGGGCAUUUGAUAGUGCCGGUCCUUGCUUUGGGAAGCCCACCUUUGGGUUCCCCAGUGCAGAGCCCUUCUGCCCCUGGGACUUGGCUGGCCUCUUGGGUUUCCGUGGCUGAUCCCCCUCCCCCGGCCCCACCCUCUCUUGUGGGUGCUCCUCUGUUGUAUCCAACAACUCUGCUUCUCAAGUUUCCCUGCAUGAGCUCAUCUUCCCCUUGGCUUUAAUUACCAUCUAUAGGUGGUGACUGCCUCUCCAGUGUGGGCUUGUCUUGAGAGCGAGGCACAGAGCAGCUCAGAAGUAUCUCGCCUCUGACGCCUCAAAGGCCCCUCUGUGUCCACAUGUGCCAACUUGAACGCCUUCCGAGCAUCCCUGCUCGCCUUCCUUCCAUGGCCAUUGUCUCUGAGAUAGCCGCCCAUCAGAAAUCUGGACUCGAUUCUUGGCUCUUCUGUCACUUUCACAGCCAACAUUUAGUCCUGCUGCGCGAUUUGCCUGGUUAUUCCUUAGGUUUUCUCUCCUAGUUAGCUUUUCCAGCCUCCUCCACUGUCAUUUCCAAUUGUUCCAUCUGGCUCCCUGCCUCCAGGUGGUCUUUGCUUCCUCCCAUUAGCUAGGUUGGUCUUGGGUUCUGCUUCCUACACUGGGCCUCUCUAUCUGGCUGUCCUUCCCUCCAGGGGCUCCUCCAGGGGCUCCUCCAGGGGUUCCUCAAGCCUCUUUAAAGAUCAGUGCCAUCAUUAAAAUGGAGUCAUAGAUCUAGUUCAAUCCAGAUGUCACCCUUACUGGCUCUGUGACUGUGGGCCAAUCUCUCACUGUGUUAAGUCUCACUUUUCUCCUGUGUAACUGGUGGACACUGUGUCUUAAAAUGGCUGUGAAUCAGGAGUGUGUCUCUAGCUCCUUGUGAAUUCUAGAGAAAAGCCUUCACUGCUGCCAGGGAGACAGGAAUCUUUGUUUUGGAAAAUGACCCAUUGAGUGUAACAGAUAAAGCCCUCCAGCUUCCUGAGUGACCUUGAGGAAGAGAGGGACAAACAAAGUGGGGGUCGAAUUGCUCUAAAGACAAAAACCAGAGACAUCUGAGCAGGAGAGGGUGAGGGGCCGAGGAGAGUGUAGGGGAGGGUCUUGCCAUGGACAGUAGGCCAGCAGCCAGAGGUGCGGUGGACAGAGGAACUUGCGAGCACAGGACGUUUGGGUCUUCAGUUUUGACUGCUUGCUGAAAUAGUCCUACCUCCCCAAACCUCCUCUCCAGUCUUACACAAGUUUUAGUACAAUUCUUUUGCAUGUUCUAUAUAUGCUCAGGGGAGGGGAAUUAACGAUAAGAUAAACCCAGCCACCCUGUUUCCUGGACUUUCCUUGGCUCUCACGUGUGGUUUAGAUGUCGCCCUGUCUGUAGGUUGACGAGAUAAAAAGACAUAAACUCAAUAAGUGAGUUAGAAGAGGAUGGAGUAAGAAGAGGAAUCAGAAUGAGAAGGAAACAGCCAGGCCUGGCACUUCUCAGGAAUCUUAGAGAGUGUGGUGGGGGUGGGGCUCCAUUUUUUUCUAAAUACUAAAGAAAAGUCACCCUUGAAGCCUGAAGGGACAUCAAGAGAACAUUUGUGGUUGUGAGGAUUAAAUUAGAUGAUGUACUUAAUUAAAGCUUCUAGCCCCAGGCUCAUGCAUAGGAAACUCUUAGAAAAUUGGAAGUUACUGUUUUUUUUUUUUUUAAAACAUAACAUUUCAACCUGGCAAGGUAGCACACGUCUGUAAUCUCAGCACUCUAGGAGGUUGAGGUAGGAGGAUCAUAAAUUCAAGCCCAGCCAGGACAGUUUAGUGUCUUAGCAAGACAUUGUGUCAAAAAUAAAGUUUAAAAAAAUAUAAGGAGGAGGAAGAGGAGGAGGAGGGCUGGGGAUAUAGGUGAUUGCAAAAGAGCUGAGUUUAAUUCCCAGUACUGUAAAACCAAACCAAAUCAGACCAAACCAGACCAGACCAGACCAGACCAGGCCAAACCAAACCAAACCCCAUACCCCAACACGAUAACAUUCCAUUUCAUAUAUAGCAAGAUACAAAAAUCUCACCAGAAGGGAGGGCAUACCCAUCUAUAUCUUCUUGCUUCUUUCUGUGGUGCCUAGCACUCUUGAUGGGAUGGAUGGCUGCUGGUGACUGUCUAGGCAAGGAUAAUCUGACAGUUAUAAUUGGGAUUUGGAGUCCCCCAACAACCCCCGUGUGGAAGGCUUGGUCCCUAACCUGUGAUGCUGUUGGCAAGUUUUGGGAUGGCAGUUAGAUGACAGGGCCAUGCCCUCUAAGGGGAUAUUGGGAUCCUGAUACUGGGACCUCUUGCUCUCUUGUUGGUUCCUGGCUGCCAUGAGAUGAGGAGUUUCCUCUGCUGCAGGUAAGUGCCAUGAUGUUGUUUCUGUUGCAUUCUCCUGCCCAAAAGAACAAGGUCAGUAGAACAUGCACUGAACCCUCUGAAACUGUAAGCCAGAAUAUGUUUUCCCCUUUUAACUUUUUAUCUCAGGUAUUUUGCUACAGUAACACAAAACUGGCUAAUACGCUGACCACACCUGGACAGGUCCACUUAAAAUUAUCACUGUCUGUUUCUGUGCAUGUAAUUUGCAGCAACACUGAUCUCCUCUGUGGUUCCAGAGUACCUUUUGCUGCUUCCACUCCCACAUCACUGAGAGCCAAUUUUGGAUUGCUGUUUUUCUGUUUAAUUGUAAGAAAUCUGGCUGAUUUUCACAUGUGUCUCACAGAAAUAGAUUUGUUAUUUUUUGGUUCCAUUAUGCAUUCUGUUCUCCUUCCUCCAAUUUUACUGUAAGCUCUGUGAGUCAGAAAUCAAAUGGACAGUUCUUCUUUAGUUCCACAGGUCUUAUGCACAGAGGUGGAUUCACAGAUAUCUGUUGUGCUGUGAGUGUUAAUUCUGUUGGUCUCAGAAAAUUAUACUCCAAAGUGUGGUGCUUUGACAGCUUGAGUACUUUGAACUAAAAAAGCAGUGCAGCACCCAAGACUCUGGGCUUUUGUUCAUUCCUGUCUCCUGCCCCUCUGUCUCCCCAAAGCAAAGGGAGGGGUUAGCCACAAAUCAUCCCUCUUGAGAGCUCAAAAAGAGGUGUGGUCUCUUGUUGAGGAAAUUACUGUACUGAAGUAUAGAUUAUCAGGUUUACCUUCAACUCUAACCCCUGAAAGAAUCUCUUCUUGUAUCUCCGAUAGGUUUUAUUCAGUCUUCACUUGAAUGCCUCCAGUGAUGGAGAGUUCACUACCAUUGGUUAGGAACUUUGGUUACCUAAUCAUAUCUACUCUCCUAGCAUUCUCUUUUUCUCCUUCUUCAUUAGGAUUUUGAUUUUAAUCAAGUAUUCACCCUUUUCCAUGCACCAAGGAGAAGAAUAUAACCAGUUGAAGGGUUUGUGUCAGGCCCAUUUCCCUUCCCAAUGAAUGCUUUCUGCAAGGGCAUGGCAGGUGACAGACUCUAGCUAAUAAGCUGAAGGAGAAGCAUUCAGGGAGAUUCUAGAAAAGAUUUUAAAAGAGACAGAAGAGUCAAUCUAUUCUAUUAGAAAAUUGAGCUUAGAUAUGGUGCCUAGAAAUGUGGCAGCCAUCUUGUGAUCAUGAGGGUAGCUAACGCAAAAAGAAAGUGGACGGGCUGAGACUAACAGCAGAAAUGUGUUAAAACACAAACACAGUAGAGAUGCUGGGACUUGGGGGACCAACCAAGAAAUCAACUAGCCAGCCUUCCUGGUAAGCUGCGUAAACAGGAGGCAUUCUACGAGAGAAAAGACAGCAUUUCGGUAAGCCAAACACCUUCCAUAAGCUCCACCUCCACCCCAGCAACCUGAUGGUUUGGAGGACAGGCUGAGUUGAUAGCAACUAAGGUGCAUAAAGCAACUAAAUGCUUCUCUUGUCUGGCUGAUUUUGCAGGCCUGGACCAGCGGUCUGAGCAUCUCUUGGGAGGAUGACAGUAUGCAGUAUAGCAAAUAUGGGGGAUUUCCUUCUGUCUUGUCUUUGAAAUCCAAUAUUGUUCUCACUGUUUUGCUUUGUACUGAUUCUUUUGCCUUUUUCAAUAUUUGGUUUUGAUUGGUUUUAUUCUAUUUUGUGUUUGAUUCUGCUGCACCUGAUGGAAUGGACAACUAUUGUGAAGAUAACAAGAUAUACUACGGUAUCCUGCUGGUGAAUACACCAAUUUUGCCGUAUUGUUCUGAUUGCUUUGUUCUGUCUUGUUUUGUUGGAUUUUACUAUCUUUAAAAUAAAAAAAAAAUUUAUAAAACAAGACAAAAUAGAUAAAUAUGCACACAAACAGACACAUUGGGAACAUUAAUGUAAUUCACUGAAUGGUUAAGUUAACCAGGCCCGGGGCUUGCAAACCAAACGAAGACUCCCUAAGCCUAAAUUUGUGUGACUGAAUUUUGAAAUUAAAUAAGAGAU